ACUUUUAGCAAUGGAUCUCUAGGCUCUCAUAUCGAUGAAGAACACAGUGAAAUGUGAUAAUUAAUGUGAAUUGCAGAAUUCAGUGAAUCAUCAAGUUUUUGAACGCACCUUGCACCUUUUGGUAUUCCAAAAGGUACACCGGUUUGAGUGUCAU
rnacentral:rRNA from 1 species